rnacentral:miRNA from 1 species
UCACGCGGAGAGAUGGCUUUG